GCAGUCGAACGAACUCUGGUAUUGAUUGGUGCUUGCAUCAUGAUUUACAUUUGAGUGAGUGGCGAACUGGUGAGUAACACGUGGGAAACCUGCCCAGAAGCGGGGGAUAACACCUGGAAACAGAUGCUAAUACCGCAUAACAACUUGGACCGCAUGGUCCGAGUUUGAAAGAUGGCUUCGGCUAUCACUUUUGGAUGGUCCCGCGGCGUAUUAGCUAGAUGGUGAGGUAACGGCUCACCAUGGCAAUGAUACGUAGCCGACCUGAGAGGGUAAUCGGCCACAUUGGGACUGAGACACGGCCCAAACUCCUACGGGAGGCAGCAGUAGGGAAUCUUCCACAAUGGACGAAAGUCUGAUGGAGCAACGCCGCGUGAGUGAAGAAGGGUUUCGGCUCGUAAAACUCUGUUGUUAAAGAAGAACAUAUCUGAGAGUAACUGUUCAGGUAUUGACGGUAUUUAACCAGAAAGCCACGGCUAACUACGUGCCAGCAGCCGCGGUAAUACGUAGGUGGCAAGCGUUGUCCGGAUUUAUUGGGCGUAAAGCGAGCGCAGGCGGUUUUUUAAGUCUGAUGUGAAAGCCUUCGGCUCAACCGAAGAAGUGCAUCGGAAACUGGGAAACUUGAGUGCAGAAGAGGACAGUGGAACUCCAUGUGUAGCGGUGAAAUGCGUAGAUAUAUGGAAGAACACCAGUGGCGAAGGCGGCUGUCUGGUCUGUAACUGACGCUGAGGCUCGAAAGUAUGGGUAGCAAACAGGAUUAGAUACCCUGGUAGUCCAUACCGUAAACGAUGAAUGCUAAGUGUUGGAGGGUUUCCGCCCUUCAGUGCUGCAGCUAACGCAUUAAGCAUUCCGCCUGGGGAGUACGGCCGCAAGGCUGAAACUCAAAGGAAUUGACGGGGGCCCGCACAAGCGGUGGAGCAUGUGGUUUAAUUCGAAGCUACGCGAAGAACCUUACCAGGUCUUGACAUACUAUGCAAAUCUAAGAGAUUAGACGUUCCCUUCGGGGACAUGGAUACAGGUGGUGCAUGGUUGUCGUCAGCUCGUGUCGUGAGAUGUUGGGUUAAGUCCCGCAACGAGCGCAACCCUUAUUAUCAGUUGCCAGCAUUAAGUUGGGCACUCUGGUGAGACUGCCGGUGACAAACCGGAGGAAGGUGGGGAUGACGUCAAAUCAUCAUGCCCCUUAUGACCUGGGCUACACACGUGCUACAAUGGAUGGUACAACGAGUUGCGAACUCGCGAGAGUAAGCUAAUCUCUUAAAGCCAUUCUCAGUUCGGAUUGUAGGCUGCAACUCGCCUACAUGAAGUCGGAAUCGCUAGUAAUCGCGGAUCAGCAUGCCGCGGUGAAUACGUUCCCGGGCCUUGUACACACCGCCCGUCACACCAUGAGAGUUUGUAACACCCAAAGUCGGUGG
rnacentral:rRNA from 3 species